AAUGCCUAGGAAUCUGCCUGGUAGUGGGGGAUAACGUUCGGAAACGGACGCUAAUACCGCAUACGUCCUACGGGAGAAAGCAGGGGACCUUCGGGCCUUGCGCUAUCAGAUGAGCCUAGGUCGGAUUAGCUAGUUGGUGAGGUAAUGGCUCACCAAGGCGACGAUCCGUAACUGGUCUGAAAGGAUGAUCAGUCACACUGGAACUGAGACACGGUCCAGACUCCUACGGGAGGCAGCAGUGGGGAAUAUUGGACAAUGGGCGAAAGCCUGAUCCAGCCAUGCCGCGUGUGUGAAGAAGGUCUUCGGAUUGUAAGGCACUUUAGGUUGGGAGGAAGGGUUGUAGAUUAAUACUCUGCAAUUUUGACGUUACCGACAGAAUAAGCACCGGCUAACUCUGUGCCAGCAGCCGCGGUAAUACAGAGGGUGCAAGCGUUAAUCGGAAUUACUGGGCGUAAAGCGCGCGUAGGUGGUUUGUUAAGUUGGAUGUGAAAUCCCCGGGCUCAACCUGGGAACUGCAUUCAAAACUGACUGACUAGAGUAUGGUAGAGGGUGGUGGAAUUUCCUGUGUAGCGGUGAAAUGCGUAGAUAUAGGAAGG
rnacentral:rRNA from 1 species